UGGGGAAUCUUGGACAAUGGGCGCAAGCCUGAUCCAGCCAUGCCGCGUGAGUGAAGAAGGCCUUAGGGUUGUAAAACUCUUUCGCCGGUGAAGAUAAUGACGGUAACCGGAGAAGAAGCCCCGGCUAACUUCGUGCCAGCCAGCCGCCGGUAAUACGAAGGGGCGUAGCGUUGUUCGGAAUUACUGGGCGUAAAGCGCACGUAGGCGGGUUUGUAAGUAGGGGUGAAAUCCCAGGGCUCGAACCCACUGGAACUGCCUUCUAAACUGCAAGCCUGGAGGUCAGGAGAGGCGAGUGGAAUACCGAGUGUAGAGGUGAAAUUCGUAGAUAUUCGGUGGAACACCAGUGGCGAAGGCGACUCGCUUGGACUGAUACUGACGCUGAGGUGCGAAAGCGUGGGGAGCAAACA
rnacentral:rRNA from 1 species